GAGGCUGCUGCGCAGAAUCAAUCAGUUUCAUUUCAAUCUUCAUAGCUUGAGGAUCACCAGCAGCAGCAGUAGCAGCAGCACUCGGAGCAGCGGCACCACAGGAGCAACAGAAGCACCAGGAUCGAGGACUCCUCCGACCGCCAUGACCAGGCGGCGCUAGGGAGGCUCUUGCAGCAUCUCCGUACCGCACCGAUCGCCCAAAAAAACACUCAAAACCGUUUCAUCAUCACCCAGGAAACCCAACAAAAUUCAGUCGAAAAGUUGCAUAAAUUCAACCGCCGAAUGUCAGAUUAAUUUGUAUAAAAACCCAAGUACCUCCAACCGAACUUCAAACCGAAAACGAAAAGUUUACGAAAAUAGUUAUCGUGAAAGUCACAUAUUUACACAUUUUCGUGAGAUGGUUAAAGUAUAAAAAUCCCCUAAAACCAAACAAAAACCAAAAACUUAAACCCAAAAACCAAAAACCCAAAAACUAACAACCCAAAAACUAAAAAAAGUUCAACGAAAUUCGAAAAGCAAACCAAAAUCAGUUCUGGAUACAAAUCAGCGAAAUACCAUUGAAAUAAUUCCAACGAAACAAAAAUACACCUCAUGGAUAUAAAUCUUGAAUAGCUUUUGAAAUAACCUCCCAAAAAUCAAAGACUAAAUUCAAAGAUAAAAUUCAAAAGUAAUAAUCCAAAAAAAGGAAAGCUGAAAACCUCAAAAGUCAAACGAAUCACUUGGAACCAAUUGGAAAGUUAUCAACACAUCUGGAAAAAGCACCAAGAGUGAAAAAAUCUCUAGUUAAGAGAGAUAAUAAUAUUGUUUUUAUAUCUUACAGGAACCCCAAGAAGCUGAAGAACGGAAAGCUAUGGACCGAGCAGUAACCACACAUCUUGAAUCCGGAUCAAUCCCAAAUCCCCAACAAGGAAGUUGUAAUGAAACUCAACAAAAUUCUCAAGUGUUUACUGCUCAUAUUUCUCUACUCCAAUGAUUGGCCGAAAAAUCAAAAGACCCAAAUUCAAAACUACCUCCAAAAUCAAAGCGAAAUUCAAAACCAGCCGAACUGCCAGCGUCUUGAGAAACUGCCCCGCCUACUCGCCACCGCCACAGCAACCGCCACCGCCCACCGAGGAGCCUUGUGCCCCAGCAACAAGCAACAGAACAGGCCCGCAAAUCACUCCGAAUUCAGACAGAAACUACAAGGAAGGAAACCCAAAUUCAAGUUUAGCUACAGAAACAGAGUCCAAGGACUCAGUUGCUGGGGCCGGAGCCAACGCUGAUGAUGAUGAACUCGAUUUCGCUGAGGAUCGAGCAUUUGACGGCGAAAGGAGGCGAACGAAGUCAGCGGAGCGUCAGCAGAGGCAGCGACAUCGACGCCAACGUCAGCGCCAACGCCGGCAGCAGCCGCAGCAGCAGCAGCUAAGAAGGAGAAAGCUGCCCCGCCGUAGAUACCCUGCUGAAUAUCUAAGCAGGGGCAGUGAUUUACCCCAGCAGCAGCAAAGCCAAGCCAAGCCAAGCCACCCCUCGACAGGAAGCACACACAGAUACAGCCCACAUCCUUGCGGCGAAUUCAACCCCACACACUCACACACAAACUCACACGCACACACAAACACAAACACACUAAUACAGAGAGAAAGGAAGGAAAGCCGAAGGAGAAACGAGACAGAGAGAAAGAGAGCGCCACCUAUUCGCUCUCCGUUGGCAGCCACAUUUCGCAAGUAUGUUUUGAUUACUGUUUAGAACCUAAUUUCCAAACAGAUUCGAGGCACCGUUUGAACCAGACCAGAUCCAAAUCCAAAAAGAAGACAUUCCAAAUCAAAAUCCGAAAAAAAAACAGUGAAAAAUUCAAAAUCCUAAACCUCCAAAAAAAUAUCAAUCAGAGUGAAAGUUUAGUAAACUUCAAAAACAAGUUUUCAAAUUAAAAAUUUCAUUUUGAAACAAAAAUUAAAGAUAAAAAACAUAGAAAUAAUUGUAUACACCAAUUAAUUCUAAAACGGAUCAAGAUUCAAAUUAAAAUUAAAAAUUAUAGCCCAAAAACAUAAAAAUAUUUUGACGAAGCAGAUCGGGAUCCAAGUUAAAAACUAACCAACAUUUCAACAACCAAAUUAAACCAAAUUCAACCAAAUUUUUUUCAAGUAUAUUAUGGAACAAACAAUAUCAAAAUCCUAAAUUUAAAUCAAAAUCUAAUUUAAAGUAGCAGAAAAUUCUAAAUUUUCUAAAUUCUAAAAAUAAAAUACUAAUUAAAUUCAAAAUAGCACCAAAGUCAAAUUAAAAACCAAAAUUAUCAACUAAACUUCACCAGAGAAUUCUAAAUUCUAAAAUUCCAACUCAAAAUCAAAUUCACGCACGAGUCUAACCUUAAAAUAUUUAACAAAUUCUAGUUAUAAAUGAAUAUAGUCCACAAAAUCAACUAAAAAACUGAUAUAUAAAACUGCACUUUUUAAAAUAUACAUCAUGGAAACAUUUCUUCUUUUAACAAUAUUUGAGAAAACCAUCUUUGAUUGCUAAAAACACGUAUAAAAUCAAUUCAAAGAACCAAAUUCCAAAUUGAUUAUUGAAAAACCAUACCUUCGUUAUACGCAAAAAAUCAUGUCUUAUGUAUUUCAAAAGUAAAAAUUUUUAAAAAACAAAUCUAAAAUUUACCAUUCCCUUAUUAAAAUUCGAAAUAUUCUUUAAUUCUAAAAUUCAUAAGUACAGUCAAAAAAAUUUUGUUUUUUGUUGAAUGCUAAUUAUUUAAAAAUUGGUAUUUUUACCCACAUUUCUAAAGUAUAUUUUCAUAAAUCUGACAUUUAAUUUUUGAACACUUUCACAAUAAUCCAAAAAAUCAAUAACCAAAAAGUAAAAUUAAUCACAUUUAGAAAUAAAAUUGACUAUUUAAAACAAUAUUAGAACAUUUUUGUAACAAAAAUAUAUUUAUAUAACCCCAAAUUCAACAUCAAUAUUUAAAUCAAUAAUAAUAUUUUGUAAUCUGCCAUUCAAAACGACAUCAACUAUGAAAUUAAAUUCAAUUUAAAGCUUUAAUAAUAUAUUUUCGAAUUUAAAAUUGUGCAAAAGAGAUUUAAGAACUUUAAAUUAUAUUUAAACAAUGAAAAAAAAAGAAUAUUUCCAAUAUUCUUAUCAAAAGAUAAAACAUUUUAUAAAUUUUGGUUUAACUAAAAUCUAUUAAAAAAAUAUACAUAAAAUUUAUCAAUAUAUUUCAUUAUCUUUAUGCUUCAUUAUUAAGACUGCUAUAUUUAGUAAUAUACAUUUAACAAAUUUUUAAUCAAAAAUUAAUUUUAAAAUUCGAAACAAAUUCGUAACCCAUUUUAAUAUUUUGAAUAACAUUUUAUUACUUUUUGAAUAUGCAAGUAAAUAUUUGAAAACAAAAAAAACACAAAUUAACUUAAAUUAACAUCACUCAAUUCUACAUCAUUCGCUCAACUUGAAAAUACUGCUUUAAAAACAAUUUCAAUUGUAAGAAAUUUAACAUUGUUCAAUUGCAAAAAAUUUUAAGAUCUAGAAUACAACAAAAAACCAACAAUUCAAAUCUUAAAUUCUUUUAUUUAGAUAUUUUAAAAUUAUAUGCAUAAAAAAGCGGAUAAAACAUUUUCUUAAAUUACACUUCAAAAACUUUAAAUAUUUGAAAUAUUUCAUCAGUUUAGCCUUUAAAAAUCUCUCAUAAAAUAUUUCAAAUCUGAACAAAACCUCACAUUCAAAAUUCAUAUUCUGUAUCCAUUAAUAAUUCUAUAUCUAAAUUGUUUUAUUUUAGAAACUGAAAGCCAAAAUCAUUCAAAUUUCAUCUUUCGGCAAACAUCUCUGGCAAACAUCAAAAUUUAAACCCAAAAAACUCAAAAUUCAACAACUUCCUGGCCACAAAAUUCAAAAAUCUAUAUCCAAAUCAAAAAUUCUUUAUUACUGCAUGCAGAACAGGUAAUCAAAAAGUUCAAAAUCCACAAAAAAUGAAACAAUUUUUAAAGUUAAAAAAAUAGUAAAGAUGAUGCUGAUAGCUAAAAAUAUAAACAAUCCAAAUUCUUUAAAAAAAAUACAAUAAAAAAUUGAAAUAGAAAAAAUGUAAGCCAGUUCAUAAGUCGCAACAUUCGAGUAACCUUCGUACAUAAUUAUGACCACAUUAAGAUGAUUAAGUACUCGCGGCCCCCAAACAAAUUCAGAUGCAGAAACAAAACAGCGCCAAAAUCCAAAAAUAAGAACAAAAACUACAGCUAAAUUUCAAAAAGGCAGUAUUAUAAAUUACAAGAAAUUGCGGAAGUUUUAAUGCGACAAAUGACAGGAGCAAAAAAGGAGCCUGCAGGCUGCCUGCAGGAGAACCAAAUUCCAAGAGCAACAGGGCGCAGGAGCUGGCAAGAAGACAUAAGCGCGACAUAAACAGGAACAUGGUUAGGGAAGAGUCCUUUCAACUGGCAACUUUCUGGCCAAAAUCUUACAAAUGGCGGCCAAGGGUGCGUAGUGCGGCAGGCGGCAGAUAAAUCACAACGAAACAAAACAAUUCCCAGCUCUCGCAGCUAAAUCCGCCAGAACAAAAACCAAAAAGCUGAAACAGUAACCGAACAGAAACUUGAACAGAAACCGAAGCAAAAAUAAAGACAAAAGCACAUCCAGGCAGCACGCGAUUUCAGUGAACUCUUUCCACCCGUAAGGGGUUGAAAAGCCCAGAAACAUUUCAGAAAAGAAGCAUUUGAGCAGACAAAAUCAUUCCCAUAACCCGGAGGCAGGCACUAGCCUCAAGAUUCGCCGAUGACCACUUUGAUCCGCCCCAGGAUAGGCCUCAAGCCCAUUACUUUCGCCUGACGGCCGCCACACAAAAAAUAUGAUACAAAGUCGAAGACAGAGUCCUACAACUUAACCCAAAUUCAAUUCAAAAUCUAAAUCAGAAUCUGAUUCAAAAUUGCAAACAAAAUGAAGGCAGCGCCAGCAGAACCACAACUUUAAGUAAUAUUUUGAGACGAGUGUCACACGCACAGCAAAAAACAUACCCACUCCAAAAUUGGUGACCAGCUCCAGUCCUCCCAGUUGCCCCAACUCUCUAUUCAGACCUUUCAAAUUGUGGUCAGACUUGGUUUCUUUGGCAAAAGUUCGAACCAUCAUCAUCCGACAUCCAGGAUCCUGCCAGCAACCCGCCACCAGCAUCAGCAUCAGCAUCCACAUUGGCAUCAUGCAGUUGAAAGCACAUCAAACAAAACUCCAAAUUUAUAUAAACUACUGUCGAGGCAAUAGUCGAGGUCGAGGCAUAAUUGCCAUCAAUAAAUAAAAUAUGGCUGGCAUGAGGAGAGGCCAGGAAGAGUCAGGAGCAGUCAGGACCAUAACCGAACAGUACCGACCCUGCCGAAGAAAAGAGACACCCAAUCCCAAUCUAAACACACCCCUACCACCAUAAGCACUCAGUCAAUGGCCACUAGACAGAAGAACGUUUUGAUUUAUAAAUUCAUGGCAAAAGUUGCCCGGCCAAGUGGCAGCAGCAGCAGCACAGCAUCAGACUCCACGGGACGACGACGAUGACGACACACACCACCUAGAAACUUGGCAAACAGCAAGAGCAACAUCAGCAGAAACAAGAAAUGCUAAAACCGUCUUAUGAAAUUACACAUUUCCGACUUGUACUAGCAACCUAAAACUAGCAACCCAUGCCGAAGCCAAAAAAAGCAAAUUGAACUGCUAAAAUUUCAAAUCACUCUCAACCAACCUCAACCCCUCUUCAAUCUGGCCAAGAAAUUUAGUUAUGAAUUUUAUUUACACACACGACCCAUCGAGGAGCAGUAUCUAACCUUUAACCUUUGGCUAGUAGGAAAGUGAAGAAUGUUUCAGGCAAUUUGGAAAUUUGCAAAAUCAUUGAGACAGACGCUAGAAGCACCCACAAAACGUAGCAAAUGGAAUCUUGUACAAUAGUUCUAUUGAAAGUCAUUCCAAAAUUUAUAUAUCCUUCUCGACCAAGAUCUAAGCAAAGAGAGAGACAGAUAUAGAUAGAUAGAUAGAGAGAUACAGAUAGACAAGCUGAAAGGGGGCUACACCCGAUAGCCUGAGAAAGACAUAGGACAAGAAAACAUUUCGGACACAAGGUUGGGGGAUACCUAGUGUAAUUGCUUAGACUUAAGAGUGUUGCACUUGCGGGCACACAAGUGCAGGACCGACUGACCCCGCCCACAACGCCCUCGUCCUUCUCUACCCCACCCCUAGAUAAUGGAAAAUUCCCAUUGGGCAGACCCAAAAAGAAAAGAAAACGAAAAUGAAAAACGUUAGUUACAGCUUAGGCCUCUUUUGACCCAAAAAAAAGCACCAUCAUCAGGAAUUACGAUUAAGCGCGAAUUGUACAACGUAACUACACUCUGUAUCCCCUUAGUUAAGCUAAAAAUUAAUACAAGAAAUUGCACAAAAACGCAAAAAAAGGGUCAAAAACAAAUCUAGAUAAUGCCAAUCCUUUUGCCUAAAAUUUCAAUUCUUGGAAAUUUCGCUUUUUAUUUGCGAAAUGUUUUAGACGAAACGAUUGUCGCAUUUUUUAUGUAAUUUAAUAUGCAUUCCAUUAUAGCCACUCGUAUAUUUUCUAUACAUAUAUUUUAUUUCGAUAUUCUCCCUACUAUCAUUAUCUUCGUCAGUUUCAGUUUUUUAUAUUUUCGACAAAUGUGAUAAGAAAAAAAUGUAAAUGUAAUAUCAGGAACACUAAAAUGUACCCCAAAACCAAACUAAAUCAAAACUGUGUUAAUCAAUCUUUGAUAGAUCUUUUUACAAAAAACACUAUUUCGCCAUAAGAAAAAUAACAAAUUAUAUUCAAGCAUGCUAAAUUAUAAUUUAUCCCAAUAAUGUCAAAAUCACGCUUUUAUUUACACCAAAAAUUUUAAAAAUAAUAACCUCGCACAUCAAAAAUCAACAAAAAUAUUGUAAAAAUUAGAAAUAGUAUGAUUACGAACCAAACAAAAAUCAAUAAAAUUGUACAAGCCAAUUUGCUCUAAUAACAAAA